CCUACGGGAGGCAGCAGUGGGGAAUAUUGCACAAUGGGCGCAACCCUGAUGCAGCGACGCCGCGUGAGUGAAGAAGGAUUUCGGGAUGUAAAGCACUAUCAGCAGGGAAGAAGGCAGACGGUACCUUAACAAGAAGCCCCGGCGAACUACGUGCCAGCAGCAGCGGCAAUACGCAGGGGGCAAGCGGUAUCCGGAUUGAGGGGGGGGAAAGGGAUCGGAGGCGGCUGGGCAAGUCUGAAGUGAAAGCCCAGGGCUCAACCCUGGGACUGCUUUGGAAACUGGGGGGCUAGAGUGCUGGAGAGGUAAGUAGAAUUCCAAGUGUAGCGGUGAAAUGCGUAGAGAUCAGGAGGAAUACCAGUGGCGAAGGCGGCCUCCUGGACAGUAACUGACGUUGAGGUUCGAAAGCGUAGGGAGCAAACAGGAUUAGAUACCCGGGUAGUC
rnacentral:rRNA from 1 species